UGUUGGCCUAGUGGUUAGAUCGUCCGCCUCGAAUGCGGGAGGUCGUGGGUUUGAUCCUCGGCCGACUCAU